GACGAACGCUGGCGGCGUGCCUAAUACAUGCAAGUCGAGCGAACAGACGAGGAGCUUGCUCCUCUGACGUUAGCGGCGGACGGGUGAGUAACACGUGGAUAACCUACCUAUAAGACUGGGAUAACUUCGGGAAACCGGAGCUAAUACCGGAUAAUAUAUUGAACCCCAUGGUUCAAUAGUGAAAGACGGUUUUGCUGUCACUUAUAGAUGGAUCCGCGCCGCAUUAGCUAGUUGGUAAGGUAACGGCUUACCAAGGCAACGAUGCGUAGCCGACCUGAGAGGGUGAUCGGCCACACUGGAACUGAGACACGGUCCAGACUCCUACGGGAGGCAGCAGUAGGGAAUCUUCCGCAAUGGGCGAAAGCUUGACGGAGCAACGCCGCGUGAGUGAUGAAGGUCUUCGGAUCGUAAAACUCUGUUAUUAGGGAAGAACAAAUGUGUAAGUAACUAUGCACGUCUUGACGGUACCUAAUCAGAAAGCCACGGCUAACUACGUG
rnacentral:rRNA from 1 species